UUGGAGGGCAAGUCUGGUGCCAGCAGCCGCGGUAAUUCCAGCUCCAAUAGCGUAUAUUAAAGUUGUUGCAGUUAAAAAGCUCGUAGUUGAAUUUCGGGGUUCUACCGUUGGUCGGGCAAUAGUCUGUACUGGCGUGUGGAAUUUCUACCUUCUGGGGAACCAUCAUGUUAUUAAUUUAGCGUGGUGGGAAACCAGGACCUUUACCUUGAAAAAAUUAGAGUGUUCAAAGCAGGCUUACGUCUGAAUACAUUAACAUGGAAUAAUAAAAUAGGACGGUGGUCCUGUUUUGUUGGUUUCUGAAUCACCGUAAUGAUUAAUAGGGAUAGUUGGGGGCAUUAGUAUUCAAUUGUCAGAGGUGAAAUUCUUGGAUUUAUUGAAGACUAACUUCUGCGAAAGCAUUUGCCAAGGAUGUUUUCAUUAAUCAAGAACGAAAGUUAGGGGAUCGAAGACGAUCAGAUACCGUCGUAGUCUUAACCAUAAACUAUGCCGACUAGGGAUCGGACGAUGUCAAUUUUUCUUGACUCGUUCGGCGCCUUACGGGAAAC
rnacentral:rRNA from 1 species